UGGUCCUAGCCUUGAAAUCAGCUCUUACCUAAUAUACACAUGCAAGUAUCCGCACCCCUGUGAAAACGCCCUUAAAUCCCCCCUUGGGAUAAGGAGCUGGUAUCAGGCCCCAUGCCCAAAACACCUAGCUAUGCCACACCCACAAGGGAAUUCAGCAGUGAUUAACAUUGAUAAUAAGCGACAGCUUGACUCAGUCAAGGUAAAGAGAGCCGGCUAAUCUGGUGCCAGCCGCCGCGGUUACACCAAGUGGCUCAAACUGAUCUUUAUCGGCGUAAAGCGUGAUUAAAGUUUCUACCCAAACUAGAGUUAAAUUUAAACUAAGCUGUGACAUGCUUGUUUUUCAGAAACCCUGAAUCGAAAGAUACUCUAACUUUAUCAACUUGAAUUCACGACAGCUAAGGUACAAACUGGGAUUAGAUACCCCACUAUGCUUAGCCGUAAACUUUAACUUACAUUACAUCGCCAGGGAACUACGAGCAAAGCUUAAAACCCAAAGGACUUGACGGUACCCCAUAUCCACCUAGAGGAGCCUGUCCUAUAAUCGAUAAUCCCCGUUAAACCUCACCUCUUUUAGCCCAUCAGCCUGUAUACCUCCGUCGUCAGCUUACCACGUGAGCGCAAACUAGUGAGCUUAAUGCCCAUACGCCAAAACGUCAGGUCAAGGUGCAGUAAAUGAAGAGGGAAGAGAUGGGCUACACUCUCUAAUAUAGAAAAUACGAAUAACUAUUCAUGAAAUUUAGUUGAAAGGCGGAUUUAGAAGUAAAAAGAAACAAUUGUGUUCUUUUUAACCCGGCACUGGGGUGUGUACACACCGCCCGUCACCCUCUUCAAAGCUUAAAACUAGUUUUUAACAAACUGUAGCACUACAGAAGAGGCAAGUCGUAACAUGGUAAGUAUACCGGAAGGUGUGCUUGGAAA
rnacentral:ncRNA from 1 species